GAGCCUCUAUGUUAUGAAUAAAGAUAGAUUUUUCUAUUACUUUCACAACGAAGCUGACAUAGUUUCAUUGUAACCAAAUAGUAGGCCUGAGAUUUUUCGGCCUAAACGUUAGGUUCUUAUGCGAUAAAUGAUUUUUUGACCUAAAAUAUUUUUAAAAAUAGAAUCAUCAAACAAAUUAUGUAACAAAAAAAAGUUUGUUUAAGAGUCAAAAAUAUUAAUUUGAUCAUGAAUAUAAAUUUUAUUUUUUAUACGAUAUUUUUUAAAUAACUUUUGUAUAAAUUUACUAUACGCAAGGCGCAAGUCUUAUCCUAAUUAUUGUAUUAUCCCCACCACACACAUUUUUAGGCUCACCAACACUUUUAUUUUAAUUAUGUGUACAAGACAAAGAAAAAUACAAUCUAUUUGUUUUCUGUUUUGAAAACUGAAAAUUUUGUGAGUAAU
rnacentral:lncRNA from 1 species